AUUGCCUUUGCAAUACAUCUGAAACGCUUCUCUAAGGGGUUAAGCUGACCGAGUCUCUAUUCCUAGGAUACCUUUGAGGAAGGAGGGUUGUAACCUGCUUUAAGUCACUUCCUGCUUUUCAUCUCUCUCUCUCUCUCCCCCAAACCUCCCCCCAGCCACGGUGAGAAAGAUCCAGGGUGUGAUGUCAAUGGCUGGAGGGGAAUCUGGUCGGGGAGGAUCUGUGCUUAAUCGGCUUGUUGGACGAAGAUGGUCUUCAGUAGGAAACAGAGAUGAUGCCUGUCUAAUAUUUGAGAGGAAGGAAAUCCAAAGGGGAUGAGACCCGAUGGCUUUCUGGGACCCUUCGGUUUUGCCUUUGUGAUGUGACAGCCUCAUUUGGCAGUGUGGCAGAACAGCAGCCUGCAGACUUUUGUGGGCCCACAAAGUAGCAUCCGACCUCCACUUGCUCCCCUCCAAAUUCUGCCUUUGCCCCCCCCCCCGAAACGAGAGAGAAUGAGAGCAGAACAAGGAGACCCAUUGGCUGUCGGUCUGCAGUUGGACGCCGUGCUGGAGCACCAAGUGAAGACAGAAGACUCGCAAGAUGUGGUCGGCCCCAAGGCGGUGGCCGUGGACCCGUCUGCCGCCCAGGCUGGGAGCAGUAGAGGAUGCUGGGGAAGAAACGGAGCAGCGGUUGUCCUGAGCGAGGAGGAUGUGAUCCCCUUAGAUGCGGCUCCACAUCGGAUGCUG